rnacentral:rRNA from 1 species
CCCUUAGAUGUUCUGGGCCGCACGCGCGCUACACUGAUGCAUUCAACGAGCCUAUCCUUGACCGACAGGUCCGGGUAAUCUUUGAAUCUGCAUCGUGACGGGGAUAGAUUAUUGCAAUUAAUAAUCUUCAACGAGGAAUGCCUAGUAGGCGCAAGUCAUCAGCUUGCGUCGAUUACGUCCCUGCCCUUUGUACACACCGCCCGUCGCUCCUACCGAUUGGGUGUGCUGGUGAAAUGUUCGGAUCGGCCGUUUGUCGCGGUUUCCGCGUCAUGUGGCUGAGAAGUUCAUUAAACCCUCCCACCUAGAGGAAGGAGAAGUCGUAACA